GAUGAAGAACGUAGCGAAAUGCGAUAAGUAAUGUGAAUUGCAGAAUUCAGUGAAUCAUCGAAUCUUUGAACGCACAUUGCGCCCGCCAGUAUUCUGGCGGGCAUGCCUGUCCGAGCGUCAUUUCAACCCUCGGGCCCCCCUCUGCGGGCGGCCCGGCGUUGGGGCUCAGGCGCCGUCUCUGCUCGGCGCCUGUCCCCUAAAUGCAGUGGCGGCCUCGCCGCUGCCUCCUCCGCGUAGUAGCACAAACCUCGCGGCUGGAAGGCGGCGCGGCCACGCCGUAAAACCCCCCAACUUUACCAAGGUUGACCUCGGAUCAGGUAGGAAUACCCGCUGAACUUAAGCAUAUCAAUAAGCGAGGA
rnacentral:misc_RNA from 1 species